GACAGAGGUGCCGAGCGUUAGGCGGAAUCACUGGGCUUAAAGCGCGUGUAGGCGGCCCUGCAAGUCGGAUGUGAAAUCCCACGGCUCAACCGUGGAAGUGCAUUCGAAACUGCAGGGCUAGAGUCCUGGAGAGGAAGGUGGAAUGCUUGGUGUAGAGGUGAAAUUCGUAGAUAUCAAGCGGAACACCGGUGGCGAAGGCGGCCUUCUGGACAGUGACUGACGCUGAGACGCGAAAGCUAGGGGAGCGAACAGG
rnacentral:rRNA from 1 species